GCAAGUCGAACGGUAACAGGUUUGUUUUUCGGAAUAGACGCUGACGAGUGGCGCACGGGUGAGUAACGCGUACACAAUCUACCUUUCACAGGGGGAUAGCCUCGGGAAACUGAGAAUAAUACCCCAUAGUAUAUAGUUAUCGCAUGAUAAUUAUAUUAAAGCUCCGGCGGUGGAAGAUGAGUGUGCGUUAGAUUAGCUAGUUGGUAGGGUAACGGCCUACCAAGGCGAUGAUCUAUAGGGGGCGUGAGAGCGUGAUC
rnacentral:rRNA from 1 species